rnacentral:misc_RNA from 1 species
AUGGUUCGGUUCCGCGUGCCUCCGAAACGAACCGAGGCAUCAGUCCGUAGCGACGCGUCCCGGGCGUCAGUCGCUGCCAUGAUUUUCGUUUUGUUCUGUGGUUUUCGGCCGAAUGCCGUGGUGCAUUAUGGAUUCGCGGUCCUCGGUCUGCUCUCUGUUCUACUGGUGUCGUGUCCAGUUAACUGCCAGGAAACACUGACCAAUCGGAUGCGUGUAAUCAGCGAGGAUCUGGACCGGCAGCUGAACGGAAUCAUGGCAUCGCAAGGUCUCAACUACACAACGAUUAACACGACCGGGCUGCCCUACAACGCCACCACGAAGUUCAACCCCAAGGGCAUGGGCCAGCUGUACAACGUGACCAACACGUUCAUCGACUGGGUACAAACCAAACAAGCGUAUCCUGAAGGAAUGUUCACUGUCGUGAAUGGACGACCCACAUUUCAAUACUCUUUGCAAGAAUGGAGGAUCGUGGCCACCCAUUACGGUGGAUUGGCUGGUUUAACUUUUGUUGGACUCCUUCUGGCUGCGAUUUUACCAUGUGUGGGCUUGUUCUUCUGUUGCUGUAGAUGCGCCGGUCAUUGCGGUGCCAGGAGUCAACCGUUCGACAAGAAACACGAUCAUUGUAGGAAAGUGUUGUUGAGUAUGGUGCUGAUAGCGGUCGCUACUAUUAUUCUGUUCGGCGUGGUCUGCGCUUUUGUGACGAACGAGUACAUGCAAGACGGGACCAAGGAGCUUCCCAACAACGUGGAAGUUAGCCUGAAAGACGUGAAGUUGUAUCUGAGCAGCACGAAGGAGGAGAUCAAUAAGAUCCUCAAGACUAAUUUCGAUGAGCUGGAGAUUAAUUUGAACAACAUCCUCCAGGCCAGUGGCAGAAUUGUGACUGAACAACUCGCGGAAUACUCCCACGCAGUCUCGUUGACCAAUCUGAGCGAUAUCGUGGCUGGGUUGGAGUCCAUCAAGGAGGAUCUCAAGACCAUGCAGACGAUCACCCGCGAUCUAAGGACGAACGCCAGUCAAUUGGACAUCGNUGUACGAGGCGUUAAAAACAAUCUUCUUCACACGCUUGCGGCUUGCAAGACCCAAAAUUGUAAACAGGUGUUGCACGAUUACAAAGUGAAUCAGAUGUCGGUUCAAGUAGACUUCGACAAGUACAUGGAUCGAUACUUCCCGAAGUUGCCAAACGUCACGUCCGCCUUGAACAACAUCACGAUGCUGAUGAAGGACAACAUCGUGUCGGAAGUCAGCCAGGGUAAAGAGUCGUUUCUGAAAAUUCAGAAAGACAUUCAAUACGCCGUGAAUCAGACCAUCCCAGUGGUCAGCGCGAGCAUCCGAAAUGCCGGCGAUUUUCUAGCCGACCUCGCGAGAAACAUGACAAUGCUCAUCGAUAGGAUAAACAACGACAUAGACAAGGUCUACAUGAAGCAAAUAGACGUUGCACGGACGAACAUCGAUCAGUAUUCACCGUACAGACAAAUGUAUUUUCCCUCUAGGUAUUAUCUAGGACUCGGGAUAUCGGGGAUUUUAUUAACAGUUCUAAUGUGUCUGACUUUCGGUCUUUUCUGUGGCAUUUGUGGAAAGCGGCCCGAUGGUUACGGGGACGACUGUUGUAACAAAGGAUCCGGUGCACGAUUUCUCAUGAUGGCUGUUUGGAUCAUCUUCCUUCUGACCAGUAUUCUAAUGGUGAUCACGGUAAUACACAUGGUCGUCGGUGUUCUCGCGCAAAGGGCUGUCUGCGAACCUUUGAAAAAUCCACAGGAUAACAGGAUGUUUGCUCUGGUCGACGAGAUCGUACAGAUAAAAAAGAUAUUGUAUCCCAAUAAACCCAAUGCCGAUGUGAACAUGAGUUAUAUCAUAACAAACUGUCAUCGAAACGAAACGUUGUACAAAGUUCUCAAGUUGAAUUAUCUGUUCGACGUGAACACGUUGCGCGAAUACACCGGUCGCUACGACAUCAACAACACCAUCCAACAGCUUCGGCGCAAGAUCAGUCUCUCACCUGGCGUGGUUAUCCUCACGGAAAGCGCAAAAUCGAAAUUGAACGAUCUCGCGCAGAGUGGGCUCAGCGAUAUCAAGUUCUAUCAAUACGUGGAGAUUCUCGCUGAUAAUAUCACGAAUAUCAACUUGGAACAUCUUGCCAAACAAUUGUUGGACGUGUCAACGGAACUGCCAAAGGGGCAGGAUGACAUUCGAGCAAGUUUGGAGAAAAACGCACUGGAUUUGGCGUAUUAUCACGAACAUUUGGUGAAACCAAUGGCGAUGCUCAGCGAACAAUUGGCAGCCAAGGCUGUGACCCUCGAGGAGAAGAUAAAGUUUAAUCACAGUUCGAUGGCAGAGGCCAUUCACAAUCUCGUUGACGAAGUGACGAAGGCGCAAAAGUUUUUGAACGAAGAUGGGCCAGAAUACGUGCAACAAUUGGCCACUAAAUUUGGAAACGCUUUCCUUCGUCAAGUGGACGAUUUCCUCGAGAGAGUUAUCGACCAUGCUUUGUUCCACGUAGGAAAAUGUACGCCCGUUUCGAACGCGUACAACGCCACGCUGGUCGCUGGAUGUAGCAAGAUUUUAGAUCCAUUUAAUGGUUUCUGGGUGAGUGUAGGCUGGUGUUUAAUCCUCUUCAUCCCGACCAUCGUGCUCUGCGUAAAACUGAGCGCGCUCUAUCAAAAAUCGGAUCCUUAUCCAGGACCUCUAGUCGAAGCCGUUCACGACAAGAAAUACGUAUCGCAUAGCAGAGAUCCUUACGCAAAAUACGAAAGUUACGACGGUCCCGCGGGUGGAUACAGCGAUCGGGAAAGGGUACCCGGGGAAGCGCAUCAGAGCACGUCCCACUAUCAUCAUUAUUCCAGAUAUUCCGACGUUGCGCCGAAGUGAGUGGGAACCUUGCGGGGGGGCAACUUCUCGCGUCUCUCGAUACGCCUCUGCACAAAUUGUGACUUCCCUAACGGUGGUCCUCCCGGGUAUCAACCAGCUGCCGCAGCUCCUCCACCGCUAAGCACGGAAUACGAGCGACCACCUCCCUAUUAUUAUUAUCCUGGGCCAGGGUGAGU